rnacentral:misc_RNA from 1 species
AAGUCGUAACAAGGUUUCCGUAGGUGAACCUGCGGAAGGAUCAUUAAAAAAUGUGGUACCAAUUAUUGGUACUAAUUAAUCAUCCUACCCUUUGUGAAUUUGUUUGUAUGAAUUUUUUUAAAUGGGUCUUUCCCUAAGUUGGAUUGUUAGUAAAAUACAAAAAGACUUAGGGGAAUGACUUUUUUAAAAGACUUUUUUUUAAUUAAAACUUUUUGUAUUCAUUUGUCUAAAAUUUAUUUUUAUAAUAUAAAAACAACUUUUGACAAUGGAUCUCUUGGUUCUCGCAACGAUGAAGAACGCAGCAAAAUGCGAUAAGUAGUGUGAAUUGCAGAAUACGUGAAUCAUCGAAUCUUCGAACGCAUAUUGCACUUUAUUAGUUUACUAAAAAAGUAUGUCUGUUUGAGUAUCAGUAAAAUAUUCUCACAAACAUGUAUUGUUUGUGGUUAUGAGUGUUUUACAACGAUAAACAAGUUGUUUCACUUUAAAUUCUUUUUUGUAAUUUUACUACCAAUUCAUAAAUUAAAAUUGGAUAAAAUUUUCCUUUAACGAGGAAUAACCUAAACAAUUUUAAAUUUUUUGGAUUCGUACAUUCACAUGAAGGAAUCUAUACAUAAAUAACUUGAUCUCAAAUCAGAUAAGAGUACCCGCUGAACUUAAGCAUAUCAAUAAGCGGAGGAAAAGAAACUAACAAGGAUUCCCUUAGUAACGGCGAGUGAAGCGGGAAGAGCUCAAAUUUGAAAUCUUCAAGGUUUGACCUUGACGAAUUGUAGUUUAUAGAAGUGUUUUCUGUUGGAGUUUUGGUAAAAGUUCUUUGGAAUAGGACAUCAUAGAGGGUGAGAAUCCCGUAUUUGACCAUGACUUUCCAGCUGUGUGAUACACUUUCAAAGAGUCGGAUUGUUUGGGAAUGCAGUCCAAAAUGGGUGGUAAAUUUCAUCUAAAGCUAAAUAUUGGCGAGAGACCGAUAGCGAACAAGUACCGUGAGGGAAAGAUGAAAAGAACUUUGAAAAGAGAGUUAAACAGUACGUGAAAUUGUCAAAAGGGAAGCGUUUGACACCAGUGUUGUUUUCUCGAAAAUCAAUUUAAUGAGUUCUUGUUUUUAAGUUAUUGUGACUUUAUCAGCGCAUUUCUUAUUUUACUUGGCUCAUUGAAUGCACUUUUCGUUUAACAAGUCAACAUCAAUUUCUUUGGUGGUAAAAAGUUUAAAGGAAGGUGGCUUGGACUUCGGUUCAAGUGUUUAUAGCCUUUUUUCUAUGCCAUCGGAGAGAUUGAGGUCUGCAGCGUAGAUCCUUCGGGGUUAGAUACUUUGUGCUAAGUUAUAGUUUUUUAUAGACAACUUGUUGACUAUAAUUAACCCUGUAAUUUACUCGCUUAGGCUAUUUUACCUACGCUUAGGAUGUUG